rnacentral:lncRNA from 1 species
CAACAAAACAGCAAAGGGUCUCCACGGCGACUGAGUCCAACCACAUGAAAGCAGUGAGAGGAGGCUUUUAGCCCAUGUUGUGGAUGCCAAUGUUAGCAACACAGAGCAACGCAGUGUGCUGCUGAUGGCUGACAGCUUUCUCAACAAGACGGCAGCAUUGGGACCGCAAGACCAGGACACAACCCGGGCUAUGUUUGAAUUGAAAGUAUUUAACAUGGUCAUCAUUGUCCUGGCUCUGUGUGUCCUCACUGUCACUGGUCUGUACUGCAUCACUGUCUGCUACAACCGCACCAGGCAGUCUAAGCGCGCCCACAUUUACGAGAGCGCCGUGACCCGGGGCGAGCAGGUUGACCCUGUGGCGGUCAAAGCAGUGAAAAGGUCAACCAGCUUCAUCAACCCUCUGACUUUGUUCAGGAAACCAGAGGCAGCAAAGGACAACUCCAGGAUUUAUUACAUCUACAGCAACCCACUGCCCGUGGGCCUGAAGGAGGACGAGGACAAAGCGGGAAACCGAGUCAGAGGAGGGUCAGAGGAGCAGGUGGCACUGCUGCCCUCCAUGUCGUUGGAGGAGUACGCCAAUGCCCCCAACAGCUGCAUAGUCCUGGACCCGCCCAUAUUUUACAUGCAGCUAUAGAAAAGUCAUGCUGCGGAGACCGCCAACCUGUAGCUGCUGGAUGCAAAGGGGUCUCCAAACCUCUGUUAUAGAACCACAGUUUGAAAGACAACCAUCAGUGAGAAAAAGUUCUGUUAAGAUGCUGUGCACCAAUGUGUUCUUAUUCUAAUAUACAAAUAACUGGAACAAUGAAGCUAAAGUGAACCUGAUGAAGCUCAAAUUAGAAAUACACGUUCCAUCAGUUGUUAAUUCAGUGUAAAAUGACAUUUUGAGGCACCAAUAUUCAGAUUGUUUCAUACUCUUACCAUAUAAAAUCCCAUUGUGAUUAAAGUCUAUUUUUUAAGAGUAAAGUGAAUAAGCAGAUGCAUCC